UGGGGAAUAUUGCACAAUGGAGGGAACUCUGAUGCAGCGACGCCGCGUGAACGAAGAAGGCUUUCGCGUCGUAAAGUUCUUUUAUAUGGGAAGAUAAUGACGGUACCAUAAGAAGAAGCCCCGGCUAACUACGUGCCAGCAGCCGCGGUAAUACGUAGGGGGCUAGCGUUGUCCGGAAUCACUGGGCGUAAAGGGUUCGCAAGCGGAAAUGCAAGUCAGGUGUAAAAGGCAGUAGCUUAACUACUGUAAGCAUUUGAAACUGCAUAUCUUGAGAAGAGUAGAGGUAAGUGGAAUUUUUAGUGUAGCGGUGAAAUGCGUAGAUAUUAAAAAGAAUACCGGUGGCGAAGGCGACUUACUGGGCUCAUUCUGACGCUGAGGAACGAAAGCGUGGGUAGCAAACAGG
rnacentral:rRNA from 1 species